rnacentral:lncRNA from 11 species
AAAACAUCAGAAAGGAUUCCAGUCAGUUAAUGUACAUCCAAGGGAGAUCUAGGAGCAAGAGUUAUCCGGGGCCACUGGAAUGGAUCUCCCCAUCCCAGUCUGGAUGUGUCAUUUCUCUUCAUCCAUGCAAAACUGGAUUCCCAGUUCUCAUUAACCAGGAUGCCAGUAAUGUGGGCCUUGCCUGUCCGCUCACAGAAGCCUAGCUAAGCCACCACCAGAUCAGGGCUGGAGGACAGCUGGGUGAAUGAGGAGGCCAGCCAGCCAGGUGGAAGCAUGGGAAAGAACUGUCUUGACUCAUGCCAUUCACCCACUCGCUGGUCAGAAGAUUGAAGGAGGAGGUCCUGGAAGGGGCCCAGAUACUGCAAAUGUGUUUUGAAGUCCUAGGCCUUGCCUGCCCUCCAAAAAUAGGUGUGCCAGGCAUGCAUAGGAGGGAGAGAUGGUUUGCUUUCUUUACCCUAGAAAUGUGCUUUUCUGCUGAGAUUUCACUGGAUCCCAAUUAAGUUAUACUGAUGCAACAGAGACGUAAGCUAACUUCAGAGUGACGGGAGCAAUGGAUUGUUGAAGCCUAUGUUUAGAUUUUUAAUUGCUUUUCUAAUUUUAGGAUGCGCAUUACGCAAACUUAAAUGCAAGAGAAAGUAAAGUAUAAGCUCAUAAAUAAAUAAAUCCCCAAAGUGCAUGUAGAUGCUACACUUGCUACUGUUAGCCUUGUUUUGAGAUUUCCUCUUGAACAAUUUCUGUCACAUUUUAAUACUCUCUCUUUUAGAAAGUACAGUACCUACAGAAUAAAAGUUUCAGUAUCUUUAGAAAAAAAUAUUAUUGAACUGAUUAAUUAUAUCAGGGGCUUUGGACAUCACACUAUUCUUAAUCUUUGCUAAACCACUUAAAUAACUUUAUUCAUUUUACUUUGAAGAACAGGGGAAGAGUAAUUUAGAUCUAUAUCAUUUGUGAAGGAUGAAAGGAAAUCUAUAGCCCACACAUGAAUACAUCAAGUUAACAAGGCAAAAACAUGUAGAAAAGUAGAAUUGAACUGAUCCAGGGAAUAUGGAUUCACUGAUUAUGGAUCACCAUUAAAACCUUAUGUAAGUAGAGUAUUUUAUACGUGUGGGGUGGAGUAAAAUAUAACAAGUAGUGCCAAAUAUUUAUUGCAUUGUUAGUUUCCUUAUACAUGCAACAUAUCCAUCUUUUAAAGAAAUCUGUUGUCAUUAUUCUCAUCACUGCAUAUGUUUUUAUAUAAGAAAAGAAACAAAUUUUGACAAAAAUAAAAUGAUAUUCAACAAACAACAA